GACGAACGCUGGCGGCGUGCCUAAUACAUGCAAGUGGGACGCAAGGAAACACACUGUGCUUGCACACCGUGUUUUCUUGAGUUGCGAACGGGUGAGUAACGCGUAGGUAACCUGCCUAUUAGCGGGGGAUAACUAUUGGAAACGAUAGCUAAUACCGCAUAAUAUUAAUUAUUGCAUGAUAAUUGAUUGAAAGAUGCAAGCGCAUCACUAGUAGAUGGACUUGCGUUGUAUUAGCUAGUUGGUAAGGUAAGAGCUUACCAAGGCGACGAUACAUAGCCGACCUGAGAGGGUGAUCGGCCACACUGGGACUGAGACACGGCCCAGACUCCUACGGGAGGCAGCAGUAGGGAAUCUUCGGCAAUGGACGAAAGUCUGACCGAGCAACGCCGCGUGAGUGAAGAAGGUUUUCGGAUCGUAAAGCUCUGUUGUAAGUCAAGAACGUGUGUGAGAGUGGAAAGUUCACACAGUGACGGAGCUACCAGAAAGGAC
rnacentral:rRNA from 1 species